GGCACCUUUCAAAUUUCAUUCAUUCAUGCACCCACAGAAUCCAUAACAGAGCCUGGCAUUAGAGGUCUCCCGUUUUUUCAGUUCAGAGUUCAAGGAGAGCUGUUUGGAUGUUUCACCAUUGCCCUCAAAUGACUCCAGGCUCUAAGUAUCGAGGGACAUUGUGGCAGAGUUGCAGAUGUAGACAGUCUACAAGUGAAGUGCUCUUACUAAUGAACCCAUGUUCUCUUGAGUCAGAAGGGAAGAUUGGCUGAGUGCAAGCACUGGAAAUAUCCUUCCUCUCUUCUGAAGUCUGGAAGUAGGGGUUUUAGGAGCUCUGUGCCAGGAACCAGGGACCGAGACCAAAUACAAACUUCUUAUCAUCUCACAUCAUAGCUGUUUUGACAGGGAA